rnacentral:rRNA from 1 species
GUCCACACCGUAAAACGAUGAUUACUAGGUGUUGGAGGAUUGACCCCUUCAGUGCCGCAGUUAACACAAUAAGUAAUCCACCUGGGGGAGUACGACCGCAAGGUUGAAACUCAAAAGGAAUUGACGGGGGGCCCGCACAAGCAGUGGAGUAUGUGGUUUAAUUCGACGCAACGCGAAGAACCUUACCAAGUCUUGACAUCCUGCGACGCACAUAGAAAUAUGUGUUUCCUUCGGGACGCAGAGACAGGUGGUGCAUGGUUGUCGU